GACGAACGCUGGCGGCGUGCUUAACACAUGCAAGUCGAACGGAAAGGCCCUGCUUUUGUGGGGUGCUCGAGUGGCGAACGGGUGAGUAACACGUGAGUAACCUGCCCUUGACUUUGGGAUAACUUCAGGAAACUGGGGCUAAUCCCGAUUAGUAGCUCCUGCUGCAUGGGGGGGUUUGAAAGUUUUCGGCGGUUGGGGAUGGACUCGCGGCUUAUCAGCUUGUUGGUGGGGUAGUGGCUUACCAAGGCUUUGACGGGUAGCCGGCCUGAGAGGGUGACCGGCCACAUUGGGACUGAGAUACGGCCCAGACUCCUACGGGAGGCAGCAGUGGGGAAUAUUGCACAAUGGGCGGAAGCCUGAUGCAGCAACGCCGCGUGCGGGAUGACGGCCUUCGGGUUGUAAACCGCUUUCGCCUGUGACGAAGCGUGAGUGACGGUAAUGGGUAAAGAAGCACCGGCUAACUACGUG
rnacentral:rRNA from 1 species